rnacentral:lncRNA from 1 species
AUGUACGCGAUGCGGCGCGAGUGGCAGGAGAGGAGGUGGCACGUGCUGCUCGCCAGCAGGCAGAACAUAGCCCCACCUAGGAAUGCGAAGAACGGCCACCGUGCGAUCGGCCGCACAAGCAAUGGUGCGAUCAUGUUGGCCACAUCCUCUUUCACACUCCGCUGCACACAGUUAAAUUAUCAUAUUCAAAGCCCCGAAACAAGGGAACACACAUAUUAUCUUAUUACAUAUUUACCCCUGCAAAAUCUAAUAAAACAUAACACACAAAGUGCAUUUCUUAGAAGAAUGCGCUUAUCUUGAAGAUAACUUGAAACAACAAAAAGAAAAGAAUAGAUAAGUUGAGUCACAGAAUUCAACUGGGGAAAGUCGGUCGGUUUUAUAUUACAAAAAAUGUUUUGCAAACAGGAGGAACAUGCUAAAAUACAAAGGUAUAUAUGAAACAAAUUAAGUUUUCGAGAAGUUCAGAAUUGGCAGAGAUAUAAAUAUGAACGCAGAUAAUGUUGCAGGGUUAUACAAGUAACUGCAGUUAAAUAACUCUGAAUAAAGAUAAGAAAAGUGAUGAAAAAGUGUUUAUUUACCAGAACACAUACAUUUGUCUGAUUUAAAUGGGUGAAUCUCUGGGGCAAACAGCUUGACAGGAGCUCUAGAAGAUGCCAGCGCGAUGAUAUGGAGGGGAGCAUAUCGAUAGAGGAGAGGGAGGUCUUCAACUCAUCUUUCAAUUUGUGUAGAUCAGAGAGGUGAGGCAACGAAGGGAGACAGGCCA